rnacentral:lncRNA from 1 species
AGCUGUUUAUUGAUAAAUUUUGGGGUUUUAGGCGAAAUUGCCUCAGUUUUGGGCAAUUGUUAAGUUUUUUAAUCAUAUUUUGAUUAUCAUAGGUGUAUUUUGCUGGUAAUUUUGAUUGUUGUUGUAUAUAGAAGGUAAUAAACAUUUUCUAAUGUGCUUUUAUGAAACUAUACAUGUUAUAAAUUGUAAGCUAUGGGUUAAGCUAAACCCGAUAGCUUUGGCUGAGGCCUUGUAUAUACGUUAAAUUGUGAUUAAAAUAUGUAUAUUUUGUUUGGAAUUUUGACUUUACAAGUAUAGAAGGUAAUUGGAUGUUCCAUUGUACUUUAUGAAACUAAACAUGUUGUAAAAUUGCCCCCAAGAGACAAGGGCAGAUGUACAUUAUAAGCUAUGGGUUAAGCUGGCUUGCUGAAUCCAGUAGGUUUCUCUCAGACGCUUAUGUCCUAAUUUUUUUCUGCUAACUUUGUAGUCAGUAUUGGCAAAAAUACUAUUUUUUCAUAUUGUGAUUAUAAUAGGUGUAUUUUGCUUGGAAUUUUUUAUUUUAGAAGUAGAGAAGGUAUUGAACUUUUUCUAUUGUGCUUUAUGAAACUAAACAUGUUGUAAAGUUUCCAGUGAGAGAUGGAGUAAUAUACGAUAUAAGUUAUGGAUUAAGCCGAAUCCAGUAGCUUUGGCUAGACACUCCAUAUGUGUUAAAAAAUCUACUAAAUAUGGAAAAAUAUUAAACUUUGAAACUAGUGAUUCUAGUACUCAGUGGGUUAAGUAGCAUCCCAAACCCAUAAGGUUCUAAUUGUGGAUUUGACUAUACUUGGAGACUGUUAACAAAACUUUCUCAUGUGUCAGUGUGGAAGUAAAGGGAUUCUAACUUGUUACGGAUGGAACUUUUGUAUUUGAUAAAUCACGAUACAUUGGCUUCCUAUACUGUACUGAGAAAAAAGUGGACUUUUUGCUUGCAAAAGGUGCUCUUUAACAGCCAAUUACGAGUCUCUUAGUGUGAAAUUUCGGAGUUGAUAGUUUACAAGUCUUUUUGCUUAAGAGUAUGAAGUAUGAACUCAUUUAUAUUAUGAGUGCAAUACUAAUAUUACCUGGUUUACUUGGUCCCUCUUUCUAAAACAUUUGCCUUAAGUCAAUGUGAAUAUCCUGCCUACUGCUAUCAGCUUACAAUUACUCCAUUGUAGUCCUGGAGGUAGUGAAAUAUGCUUGAGCUUCACUUGUGUUAGGAAGAUACACCAUUGGCAUGGCUCUGUUAUUAGGUUAUGGCUGUGAGGAAGGAUAGAAGACAGAGGUGUAUCAAUUGGGGCACGUGUAUACAUUAGAAAAUUUGCAGUUACUAUACAUAUAGUACUCUUCUUGCUCAAAUCAUCACAUUCUCUCCUUCUCAAUAUUUCUUGUACGCAGUCCAUCUUUUAUCUUCCUGGUAAUUGUUAAUUUGAAUUGAUAUCAUGGUAUCAGAGCAUUCAAACUCUGCAUUGAUCCUUCCAUUGUAUAAUUGCGUUUAGAUAAGCUUGAAGAUAGCUUCAUCACAUGGUUACCUAGAUCGAUUUUUGAAUGUCUUCAAUCAAUGUGAUUAUCACAAUCAUGCCCUAUAUUUCCUUCUUUUUUACUCUAAAGGUGCUAGUCUAGUUUUGAUUUAGUUUAUUCGCUUGGUAAUCAUUAUCUCUUGGCUAGAUGGUUUUUUCUCCUAGCUAAGAACAAUUGAGGUUGGUGAUAGAGAUAUAGUCAAAGAAGAAGAUCUAAAUCAAGAGAGAUUCUCUCUUGUACCUAGAUGGUCACUGUCUGAUCGAUUAUAGCACUUGUGGUGGUUGAAAAUUGGAAUUAUUAUUGCUGAAUGUGUACAAUGCAUGCCUUCUUGGAGACCCAUAUAGGUUGGUGUGUAUGGAAUGCCUCAGGUGUCGGUAUAUAGGGAAAGAUCAACAACAACAAUAACUACCCAGUAUAGUCCCACAAAGUGGGGUCUGGGGAGGCUAAUAUGUAGACGAGCCUUACCNNNNNNNNNNNNNNNNNNNNNNNNNNNNNNNNNNNNNNNNNNNNNNNNNNNNNNNNNNNNNNNNNNNNNNNNNNNNNNNNNNNNNNNNNNNNNNNNNNNUAACUACCCAGUAUAGUCCCACAAAGUGGGGUCUGGGGAGGCGAAUAUGUAGACGAGCCUUACCCCUAUCCGAAAGGGCAAAGAGGAUGUUUCCAAUCGACCCUCGGCUCAGUGAAGGAAAGGAAAAACAAAAACAAAAACAAA